rnacentral:rRNA from 1 species
UACGUAGGGGGCAAGCGUUGUCCGGAAUCAUUGGGCGUAAAGAGCGCGUAGGCGGCCCGGUAAGUCCGCUGUGAAAGUCAAGGGCUCAACCCUUGAAUGCCGGUGGAUACUGUCGGGCUAGAGUCCGGAAGAGGCGAGUGGAAUUCCUGGUGUAGCGGUGAAAUGCGCAGAUAUCAGGAGGAACACCAAUGGCGAAGGCAGCUCGCUGGGACGGUACUGACGCUGAGGCGCGAAAGCUAGGGGAGCAAACGGG